rnacentral:sRNA from 1 species
AUGCAGUAAUCAGUAAUUACUUUUUAGCGCACGGCUCGCAAUGAGCCUUUUCCCUAAGCCAGAUAAAUGAUUUAUCUGGCUUUUUUUA